rnacentral:rRNA from 1 species
GGAAUUGGAUCUGGCUUAGAUUGACGCUGGCGGCAGGCCUAACACAUGCAAGUCGAACGGUAACAGGAAGCAGCUUGCUGCUUUGCUGACGAGUGGCGGACGGGUGAGUAAUGUCUGGGAAACUGCCUGAUGGAGGGGGAUAACUACUGGAAACGGUGGCUAAUACCGCAUAACGUCGCAAGACCAAAGAGGGGGACCUUCGGGCCUCUUGCCAUCAGAUGUGCCCAGAUGGGAUUAGCUUGUUGGUGAGGUAACGGCUCACCAAGGCGACGAUCCCUAGCUGGUCUGAGAGGAUGACCAGCCACACUGGAACUGAGACACGGUCCAGACUCCUACGGGAGGCAGCAGUGGGGAAUAUUGCACAAUGGGCGCAAGCCUGAUGCAGCCAUGCCGCGUGUAUGAAGAAGGCCUUCGGGUUGUAAAGUACUUUCAGCGGGGAGGAAGGUGUUGUGGUUAAUAACCGCAGCAAUUGACGUUACCCGCAGAAGAAGCACCGGCUAACUCCGUGCCAGCCGCCGCGGUAAUUA